AGUGAACGCUGUCGGCGUGCCUAAUACAUGCAAGUCGAACUAAGUGGCGCACGGGUGCGUAAUAUCUAGUUAAUAUGCCCUACACAGAGGAACAACAGUUGGAAACGACUGAUAAUACCUCAUAGUUUAGGCUGAGCUUAUAUCGUAUCAACUAUUUGGUAAGGUAUUGGCUUACCAAGGCUCUGACGCGUAACUGGUCUGAGAGGAUGAUCAGUCACAUUGCAACGGAUACACGGUCCAAACUCCUACGGGAGGCAGCAGUAAGGAAGAUUGCGCAAGGGGGGAAACCCUGACGCAGCAACGCCGCGUGGAGUAGGACACUUUUCGGAGCGUAAACUCCUUUUAUCAGGAAAGCGGUACCUGAUGAAUAAGCACCGUCUAACGCCGUGCCAGCCGCCGCGGUAAUAC
rnacentral:rRNA from 1 species